GGGGGAUUAGCUCAGUUGGCUAGAGCGCAUGCUUUGCACGCAUGAGGUCAAGGGUUCGACUCCCUUAUUCUCCA
rnacentral:tRNA from 1 species